rnacentral:rRNA from 1 species
UACGGGGGGGGCAAGCGUUGUUCGGAAUUACUGGGCGUAAAGGGCUCGUAGGUCGCCAACUAAGUCAGACGUGAAAUCCCUCGGCUUAACCGGGGAACUGCGUCUGAUACUGGAUGGCUUGAGUUUGGGAGAGGGACGCGGAAUUCCAGGUGUAGCGGUGAAAUGCGUAGAUAUCUGGAGGAACACCGGUGGCGAAGGCGGCAUCCUGGACCGACACUGACGCUGAGGAGCGAAAGCCAGGGGAGCAAACGGG